rnacentral:rRNA from 1 species
UACAUAGGUAGCGAGCGUUAUCCGGAAUAACUGGGUGUAAAGGGAGUGUAGGUGGAAAUGCAAGUCUGAUGUGAAAGCCCGUGGCUUAACUGCGAGGAUUGCACCAGAAACUGUAUAUCUAGAGUACGAGAGAGGCAAGUGGAAUUCCUAGUGUAGCGGUAGAAUGCGUAGAGAUUAGGAGGAACACCGGAGGCGAAGGCGGCUUGCUGGCUCGCAACUGACACUGAGACUCGAAAGUGUGGGGAGCAAA